rnacentral:lncRNA from 1 species
CUCCAAACGGAGGCUUCGAUUCUGGUACAAAAAUAAACCUCCGACUCCUAAAGCUAAAGACGACAGCAACUCGAAGUGACCCAACUCAAUCUCACAAAGGUGCAAAAUAAGAACCUGCUCCAAACGGAGGCUUCGAUUCUGGUACAAAAAUAAACCUCCGACUCCUAAAGCUAAAGACGACAGCAACUCGAAGUGACCCAACUCAAUCUCACAAAGGU